rnacentral:sRNA from 1 species
AUGCGGUCAUGUGUUUGAUGCAGAAUGCCUUGAAAGAUGGUUUGAGAGUGAUAAACAGGUUUUUCAGGCUUACUUAUAUGCUGAAGAGUGUGAGGUUCAGUUCAAUUCUCCUACAAACACUAACAUGUCGAUGCAGCUAUAGGGGGUGUCAAUCCAGUGCACUGUUAUCGCUAGCAAUCAAGACAUGUACACAAACAACUAAGUCAAGUCGGAUUAUAAUGAUGGUGGGUUUCUAGUAACAAUCCUAGGUCAGGAUUCAAACAAGUAAAAAUGAAAACUUAAAAGCCCUACUCGAUCAUUGGGUCGAGUAGAACCAACAGGCAGAACCUAAAUGCAAUCAACAGGGGAUACUAAUAGGGGAUACUAAUAGGGGAUACAAAUAACACGUAAAUAAAAGAGCAAUCAACAAGGGGUACAAAUAAAUCUAGUAGAAGUUCUAAGGAUGGAUUCAUUGAUAAGGGCAACUCUAGGGUUCAUCAGAUGGCUAAUAGGUGAAAGGUGGAUACCCUUGACGAUAGAUUCAAAAACCGUGUCAAUCGACUGUCGUGACAGAGACCCCCAUAACUCUACCACUUUCUAAUCUCAACUAUCGUUGAUGAAGCAUAGCAGAGCAGGGUUUAAGAAACAAUCUACCAAAGCCAAUAAGCAGACAAGCCAAUGUCUUGGUCGAGUCUACAAAUCUCUGGAAUUCGUAGAUCAAACAUCCAUUUGAACGUCUUUUGGACGCUGGACGUCUAUGAUCGAAUCUCUACAUUAGCCAGCGAAAACCGCAUAGGGGCCAAGCGAAUCCAGAAGGGUUCUAACCUAAUCUUAACCACCUAACUAACCUAGAGAUUACCCUAAUCUAAUCCAUCCUCAAGAACCCUAAUCACUACUCAAGCAACAUUCUCAAGAACACAAACCCAGAAAUUACUGAAAUCAUACCAAAAUGUAGAUCUAAACAAGCUAAACAACUUUACUAAAACAACUAAAUGCAAAAACAAAAUAGAUUAAGAGUAAUUAAGUUUUGAAGAUUCAUAAACACAAAGAAAAACUAAAAGGAUAAAAGCUAUAUCC